AUUGAACGCUGGCGGCAGGCCUAACACAUGCAAGUCGAGCGGAGCGGCGGACGGGUGAGUAAUGCCUAGGAAUCUGCCUGGUAGUGGGGGCUAACGUCCGGAAACGGGCGCUAAUACCGCAUACUAUCAGAUGAGCCUAGGUCGGAUUGGCUAGUUGGUGGGGUAAAGGCCUACCAAGGCGACGAUCCGUAACUGGUCUGAGGGGUUGAUCAGUCGCAAUGGAACUUGGAAACGGUCCGGACUCCGACGGGAGGCAGCAGGGGGGAAUAUGGGACAAUGGGCGAAAGCCUGAUCCAACCAUGCCGCGUGUGUGAAGAGGGUCUGCGGAUUGUAAAGCACUUUAAGUUGGGAGGCGUUACCAACAGAAUAAGCACCGGCUAACUUCGUGCCAGCAGCCGCGGUAAUAC
rnacentral:rRNA from 1 species